GAAACAGGCAGAGUACAGGUAUAAAACAGGUAUGAGACGUUGUUAUAUAGAAACAGGCAGAGUACAGGUAUAAAACAGGUAUGAGACGUUGUUAUAUAGAAACAGGCAGAGUACAGGUAUAAAACAGGUAUGAGACGUUGUUAUAUAGAAACAGGCAGAGUACAGGUAUGAAACAGGUAUGAGACGUUGUUGUUAUAUAGAAACAGGCAGAGUACAGGUAUAAAACAGGUAUGAGACGUUGUUAUAUAGAAACAGGCAGAGUACAGGUAUAAAACAGGUAUGAGACGUUGUUGUUAUAUAGAAACAGGCAGAGUACAGGUAUGAAACAGGUAUGAGACGUUGUUGUUAUAUAGAAACAGGCAGAGUACAGGUAUGAAACAGGUAUGAGACGUUGUUGUUUUAUAGAAACAGGCAGAGUACAGGUAUAAAACAGGUAUGAGACGUUGUUGUUUUAUAGAAACAGGCAGAGUACAGGUAUGAAACAGGUAUGAGACGUUGUUGUUAUAGAAACAGGCA